GAUAUGUGCAGGAAUGCCGAUGAUGAAGAUAGUCCACUGGACGGAAACUGACGCUGAAGUGCGAAAGCCGGGGGAGCGAACAGGAUUAGAUACCCUGGUAGUCCCGGCCGUAAACGAUGAUUACUGGGUGUGGGCAGGAAGACUGUCUGUGCCGAAGCGAAUGCGAUAAGUAAUCCGCCUGGGGAGUACGGCCGCAAGGCUGAAACUCAAAG
rnacentral:rRNA from 1 species